UACGUAGGGUGCAAGCGUUAUCCGGAAUUAUUGGGCGUAAAGAGCUCGUAGGCGGUUUGUCGCGUCUGCUGUGAAAACUGGGGGCUCAACCCCCAGCCUGCAGUGGGUACGGGCAGACUAGAGUGCGGUAGGGGAGAUUGGAAUUCCUGGUGUAGCGGUGGAAUGCGCAGAUAUCAGGAGGAACACCGAUGGCGAAGGCAGAUCUCUGGGCAUUAACUGACGCUGAGGAGCGAAAGCAUGGGGAGCGAACAGG
rnacentral:rRNA from 1 species